UACGUAGGUGGCGAGCGUUACUCGGAAUUACUAGGCGUAAAGCGCGUGUAGAUGGUCUUGCAAGUCGGUCGUGAAAGCUCCCGGCCUAACUGGGAGAGGUCGAUCGAAACUGCUUGGCUUGAGUGUAUGAGAGGAAUCUGGAAUUCCCGGUGUAGCGGUGAAAUGCGUAGAUAUCGGGAGGAAUACCUAUGGCGAAGGCAGGAUUCUGGCAUAUUACUGACAUUGAGACGCGAAAGCUAGGGGAG
rnacentral:rRNA from 1 species